AUACUUACCUGGCAGGGAAAAUACCAUAAUCAUGAAGGCAGUUUUCCCAGAGCGAGGCUUAUCCAUUGCAUUCCGGAUGUGCUGGCCCCUGCGAUUUCCACAAAUGUGGGAAACCUGACUGCAUAAUUUGUGGUAGCGUGGGACUGCAUUUGCUCACUCCCUAG